ACCCGCUGAACUUAAGCAUAUCAAUAAGCGGAGGAAAAGAAACCAACAGGGAUUGCCCCGGUAACGGCGAGUGAAGCGGCAAGAGCUCAAAUUUGAAAUCUGGCCCCGUCGGGGUCCGAGUUGUAAUUUGUAGAGGAUGUUUCGGGUGCGGCGCCGGUCUAAGUCCCUUGGAACAGGGCGUCAUAGAGGGUGAGAAUCCCGUAUGCGACCGGCGACUAACCCCGUGUGAAACUCCUUCGACGAGUCGAGUUGUUUGGGAAUGCAGCUCAAAAUGGGUGGUAAAUUUCAUCUAAAGCUAAAUACCGGCCAGAGACCGAUAGCGCACAAGUAGAGUGAUCGAAAGAUGAAAAGCACUUUGGAAAGAGAGUCAAAAAGUACGUGAAAUUGUUGAAAGGGAAGCGCUUGCAACCAGACCUGUCCGCGGGCGAUCAACCCCUGUUCUCAGGGGUGCACUCGCCCGCGAUCAGGCCAGCAUCGGUUCGGGCGGCCGGAUAAAGGCCUCGGGAACGUAGCUCCCUUCGGGGAGUGUUAUAGCCCUUGGUGCAAUGCGGCCAGCCCGGACCGAGGACCGCGCUUCGGCUAGGAUGCUGGCGUAAUGGUUGCAAGCGACCCGUCUUGAAACACGGACCAAGGAGUUGACCAUUUAUGCAAGUGUUUGGGCGUCAAACCCAUGCGCGUAAUGAAAGUGAACGGAGGUGAGAACCCUCUCGGGGGCGCAUCAUCGACCGAUCCAGAUGUCUUCGGAUGGAUUUGAGUAGGAGCAUAACUGGUCUGUCCCGAAAGAUGGUGAUCUAUACUUGAAUAGGGUGAAGCCAGAGAAACUCUGGUGGAGGCUCGCAGCGGUUCUGACGUGCAAAUCGAUCGUCAAAUUUGAGUAUAGGGGCGAAAGACUAAUCGAACCAUCUAGUAGCUGGUUCCUGCCGAAGUUUCCCUCAGGAUAGCAGUAACGUUUUCAGUUUUAUGAGGUAAAGCGAAUGAUUAGAGGCCUUGGGGUUGAAACAACCUUAACCUAUUCUCAAACUUUAAAUAUGUAAGAAGUCCUUGUUACUUAGUUGAACGUGGACAUUUGAAUGCACCGUUACUAGUGGGCCAUUUUUGGUAAGCAGAACUGGCGAUGCGGGAUGAACCGAACGCGAGGUUAAGGUGCCGGAAUGCACGCUCAUCAGACCCCACAAAAGGUGUUGAUUCAUCUAGACAGCCGGACGGUGGCCAUGGAAGUCGGAAUCCGCUAAGGAGUGUGUAACAACUCACCGGCCGAAUGAAUCAGCCCUGAAAAUGGAUGGCGCUCAAGCGUGCUACCCAUACCUCGCCGCCAGGGUAGAAACGAUGCCCUGGCGAGUAGGCAGGCGUGGGGGUCAGUGACGAAGCCUUGGGAGCGAUCCCGGGUAGAACGGCCCCUAGUGCAGAUCUUGGUGGUAGUAGCAAAUACUCAAAUGAGAACUUUGAGGACUGAAGUGGGGAAAGGUUCCAUGUGAACAGCAGUUGGACAUGGGUUAGUCGAUCCUAAGAGAUAGGGAAACUCCGUUUCAAAGUGCGCACUCGUGCGCCGUCCCUCGAAAGGGAAGCCGGUUAAUAUUCCGGCACCUGGAUGUGGAUUCUCCACGGCAACGUAACUGAACGCGGAGACGUCGGCGGGGGCCCCGGGAAGAGUUCUCUUUUCUUCUUAACGGCCCAUCACCCUGAAAUCGGUUUGUCCGGAGCUAGGGUUUGACGGCCGGUAGAGCCCCGCACCUUUGUGGGGUCCGGUGCGCUCCCGACGACCCUUGAAAAUCCGCGGGAAGGAAUAGUUUUCACGCCAGGUCGUACUCAUAACCGCAGCAGGUCUCCAAGGUG
rnacentral:rRNA from 1 species